GGUGCUAUUCAACGACUAAAAGCUCCCGCCCCGCCGAGCUCUCCGACUGGCUGGAUUCUGAGCAAGAGAUGCUGAGGUAAUGGCUUCCUUAUGGACUCCCGGCGCAAGAGUGAUGGGCUGACAGAAGGUAUGUUAAAUAUCUCCCGCUCUGACUACAACAUCGGGACCCUGACCCCUUUGAAAGGGAAGGCUUAACAAGGGACUCCGAAGGUCAGCGAGCUGUAAUAUGUCAAUGGGAUUUAAAGGGAAGACGACUGCGCUGUGUUUACAUGAGCUGGGGUUCCACUACUUUCAGUCCAAGGAGGAAAAUGUGGGAAAAGGCAUGGGUGCCACCGUCUGAACCUCAGGCAGAUUCUUGCUGGUGGCUCCAUUCACAAAGCUGGAGGAAGAGGGAGUGGAUGCAUCUGUGGCUCCUGUGACACAACAAGAAAUCACAGGAAACAACAUAACUACAAAGGCACAAACUUUGUGAAACAUCCCCAUUACUCUGGCCUCCCCCUGAGAAAGUGAAGCACCAUCUUACAUUCUUCU